UACGAAGGGGGCUAGCGUUGCUCGGAAUCACUGGGCGUAAAGGGUGCGUAGGCGGGUCUUUAAGUCAGGGGUGAAAUCCUGGAGCUCAACUCCAGAACUGCCUUUGAUACUGAAGAUCUUGAGUUCGGGAGAGGUGAGUGGAACUGCGGGUGUAGAGGUGAAAUUCGUAGAUAUUCGCAAGAACACCAGUGGCGAAGGCGGCUCACUGGCCCGAUACUGACGCUGAGGCACGAAAGCGUGGGGAGCAGACAGG
rnacentral:rRNA from 1 species